GAGAUACGGGCUAUAUGUAUAUAUACUUCUGGGUAGCAGCAAAUAUUUUAAAGAAAAUUCAAGAAAUAAUUACUUUUAUUAUUUAUUUGCAAGUAUCUUUAGGUGAUAUGUAUAUACGGAACCACUUAAGUAGAAUAGAAAUACAAUUUAUGAUUUGUUUUCGGUUGUUUCGUUUUACACAGGAAUAUUUGAAAUAUUUUUGGGGAAUUUCCAAGCCCCUCGAUAUAUUAUACAAGCGUUUGCAUAUUUAUUCAUUUUUAUUGCAAUUAAUUUUACAUCAACCUUUCUUUCGGCACGCUUGUCGGAAGAAAGCUUAUCUUUUCAUGUAGCUGAACUAUAUAAAAAAUACGAUAUAUACAAAAAAUAUAGAGUAAUCUUUUUCGCAGUCAUAUUAAAGCCAAUUUUUUUGAUUAUUUACAAAGUCUUAUGUUUAUCCCCAUCUAAUAUUGACUUAUACAGUUCCCAUGAGUUUUUAUAUGUUUUUUUCGACAUAUUGUUUGAUAUUGUUUUAUAUGUCAUAGUAAGUUGAAAAACAAAAUUAUGAAUUGUCAUAUAUCCCUAUGUCAUACUUUAUGUAAACAUAACACAUUUAUAUAUAUAUAUAUACUAUUAUUAUUAUUUAUUUUUUUUUUCAACUAUUCGCAGCUUUUUGCUUUAUUUCGAACAGUUAAACCCAUUAAGCUCUUAAAGGUUAGUACAUAAACAAAAAUUACUCUCUUACCUAUAAAUACACGUAUAUACAAUAUAUAUAAUACACGCUUUUCUACAAAAAUAAACUAUAUCAUACAUUUAUAUUUGUCGGUGUA
rnacentral:lncRNA from 1 species